GCCGCUGUAGCUCAAUUGGUAGAGCAACUGACUUGUAAUCAGUAGGUUGGGGGUUCAAUUCCUCUCGGCGGCACCA
rnacentral:tRNA from 1 species